UACGUAGGGAGCGAGCGUUGUCCGGAUUCAUUGGGCUUAAAGCGCUCGUAGGCGGCUUGGUAAGUCGGAUGUGAAACCUCCAGGCUCAACCUGGAGUCGCCAUCCGAUACUGCCAUGGCUAGAGUCCGGUAGGGGCCCACGGAAUUCCUGGUGUAGCGGUGAAAUGCGCAGAUGUCAGGAGGAACACCGAUGGCGAAGGCAGUGGGCUGGGGCGGCACUGACGCUGAGGAGCGAAAGCGUGGGGAGCGAACGGG
rnacentral:rRNA from 1 species